rnacentral:rRNA from 1 species
UACGUAGGGUGCAAGCGUUGUUCGGAAUUACUGGGCGUAAAGGGCGCGUAGGCGGCCUACUAAGUCAGACGUGAAAUCCCCCGGCUUAACCUGGGAACUGCGUCUGAUACUGGAAGGCUUGAGUAUGGGAGAGGGAUGUAGAAUUCCAGGUGUAGCGGUGAAAUGCGUAGAUAUCUGGAGGAAUACCGGUGGCGAAGGCGGCAUCCUGGACCAUUACUGACGCUGAGGCGCGAAAGCUAGGGGAGCAAACGGG